UUUGUAUUUUGUAUUUUUUUUUUUUAUCCAAAAAAAUAUAUAUAUAUUUUCCGAAAUGGCGUGUAAAGACAACAUUUCUAAGGGGGAGAAAACGUGAAAUACUGAAUUUGAAUUUUUUUUUUUUUUAGUACAAUAAAAGCACAGCUCAAGAAGUUAAUCUGUUGUGUUAAAAUGUCCUUAGGUACCAUCCCACUUUAAAGGGCAGACUGAGCAAGCCAAUUAUCACAUCCAUUAUUAUUGAGCCCUUUUUAAUUAGACCCUGUAACAUGAAUUUUGAG